rnacentral:rRNA from 1 species
AGUCGAGGGGUAACAGGGAGUGCUUGCACUUUGCUGACGACCGGCGCACGGGUGCGUAACGCGUAUAGAAUCUACCUUUUAGUGAGGGAUAGCCCAGAGAAAUUUGGAUUAAUACCUCAUAGUAUCAAUGAAUAGCAUUAUUUAUUGAUUAAAGAUUUAUUGCUAAAAGAUGACUAUGCGUUCUAUUAGCUGGUUGGUAUGGUAACGGCAUACCAAGGCUACGAUAGAUAGGGGUCCUGAGAGGGAGAUCCCCCACACUGGUACUGAGACACGGACCAGACUCCUACGGGAGGCAGCAGUGAGGAAUAUUGGACAAUGGAGGCAACUCUGAUCCAGCCAUGCCGCGUGUAGGAAGACUGCCCUAUGGGUUGUAAACUACUUUUAUAGAGGAAGAAACCGCUCUACGUGUAGAGCUCUGACGGUACUCUACGAAUAAGGAUCGGCUAACUCCGUGCCAGCAGCCGCGGUAAUACGGAGGAUCCAAGCGUUAUCCGGAAUCAUUGGGUUUAAAGGGUCCGUAGGCGGUUUAGUAAGUCAGUGGUGAAAGUUUUCGGCUCAACCGGAAAAUUGCCAUUGAUACUGCUAGACUUGAAUUAUUGUGAAGUGGUUAGAAUGUGUAGUGUAGCGGUGAAAAUGCAUAGAUAUUACACAGAAUACCGAUUGCGAAGGCAGAUCACUAACAAUAUAUUGACGCUAA